UUUUUUGUCUUUUUCGUUUGAUUUUUUUGGGCCCAUAUUAUACGAAAAUCUCGGCCCACGGUAUCUUGGUUAUCUUAGAGUGUUCAUGUUCAAGCUCAGGCGCCUUAAACAUUCAUAUUUCUAUGGUUCCGAUAAAAAACAAUUGUAAUGUUUUCCCUUCUCAUAACUCCACCAUUAAUCUAAUCAUUAAACUACGCUCCACCUCCCCUCCCACUCCGCUCAUUUACUAGCUGUUGUGGAAAAGGAUUUGAUGGGUAUAUAUCUGUUUAUCUUCUUAAUUCAUUGACUCCAAUGAUUUUAAAAAUCUCCCUCUUUUUUAUGGAUUUGUCUAAUUUUAAAGUGUUUUCGGCUAAAUAUGUUAUGCUUUUCUUCCUGAUUAGUAUUUAAGACUUUUUUGUGUUUAAGAUAUUUAUAACACUUUUGGAGUCUAUUUAUGCUCCAAUCUUCAUGCCUUUCCAUCGUCUUUAAUGGUUUUUAUGUAUAGUUCAUUUCUUUUGUUGGAAGCUUCUUGAAUAAACAGAUACUUUGUCAUAAACUUAGCUCAUCGUUGAAUAGUGAUGAAGAUCAUAAAUGGCUCUAUUUGUCCUUUCUUGAUUUGUAGGUCUGAAAUAGAUUUUCUUUGGAUAUAAUUUAGGUUAAGUUUGGUUUAACAUCAAGCUUACACAGAAAAAAGAUACUGGAGACAGAGCCAUCUCGGAAGAUAUUCUCAGUGAGGAGCUUCACUCAGCCACAAACAGUUUUAACUACGACAAACAAACUCGGUUAAGGCCGCUUCGGCAGUGUGUAUUGGGGUCAGUUCUCCGAUGGUUCACAAGUUGCAAUCAAGAGGCUCAAGGUAUGGAGUCACAGAGAAGAUAUAGAUUUCUCUAUUGAAGUUGAGAUUCAAAAGAAAUUUUGUGAAAUCGUUAAUAAGAGACUGAAAGAGGAAAACAUGGAAGAGAAGCUGAGAAGUUUGUCUUGGUGGGAGUCGUGGGACUAAUAUAUGCUUAGAUGGAGCCAGAGAAGAGACUGACAAUGUCUGAAGUGCUCGAGAUGCUAAUGAAUGAAUCAAAGAAGAAGAUGUUGUCUGAACUUGAAACCAAUCCUCUCUUCAAGAAUCCAUAUAGCAGCAAGGAAAACUGUAGAGAGCAUCAGGAAGUUUCAGAUGAAAGCUCAGAAGUGAUCUCAGAAGAAAAAGAUCAUCAUCAAUAGGAUUUUUUAAAGCACAUGACAUUUAUUUUCUCAGAUUAGUUUUUACCAUCUUCUGUUAAUUAUACUAACACAUAACAAAGCUACUCCAUUUCCAAAUUUCUACUACCAUGCUUCUCCACUGAAACUUCCAUUAAAAAAGUAUGAAAACGAAAGUAUUUUAUUUAGU